rnacentral:rRNA from 1 species
UACGUAGGGGGCUAGCGUUGUCCGGAAUCAUUGGGCGUAAAGAGCGUGUAGGCGGCCCGGUAAGUCCGCUGUGAAAGUCGGGGGCUCAACCCUCGAAAGCCGGUGGAUACUGUCGGGCUAGAGUGCGGAAGAGGCGAGUGGAAUUCCUGGUGUAGCGGUGAAAUGCGCAGAUAUCAGGAAGAACACCAAUGGCGAAGGCAGCUCUCUGGGACGGUACUGACGCUGAGACGCGAAAGCGUGGGGAGCGAACAGG